rnacentral:ncRNA from 27 species
UUAAAUUAAAUAGAGAUAGGUGCGUAAGCUUAAUAAGGAAACUGGAAGAGCCAGUACGGUCCCGCCACUGUAAGGGGAGCUAUUUUUAAUUAUGUCACUGAAAUAAUUUAUUUUGGGAAGGCGAAAAUCAGCGAGGAACCUAAGUCAGGAGACUUGCCUAUUGGAAAAACACCGUG